rnacentral:tRNA from 1 species
GAGGGUGUAGCUCAGUGGUGGAGCACAUGCCUAGUAUGCAUGAGGUCCUGGGUUCAAUCCCCAGUACCUCUG